UGUAUAAAGAAACACUAAUUC
rnacentral:piRNA from 1 species